rnacentral:rRNA from 1 species
UACGAAGGGGGCUAGCGUUGCUCGGAAUUACUGGGCGUAAAGGGCGCGUAGGCGGACAGUUUAGUCAGAGGUGAAAGCCCAGGGCUCAACCUUGGAAUUGCCUUUGAUACUGGCUGUCUUGAGUUCGGGAGAGGUGAGUGGAAUGCCGAGUGUAGAGGUGAAAUUCGUAGAUAUUCGGCGGAGCACCAGUGGCGAAGGCGACUCACUGGCCCGAUACUGACGCUGAGGCGCGAAAGCGUGGGGAGCAAACAGG